rnacentral:lncRNA from 1 species
CAGAGGUUUCAGUUCACAGACAGCCAACUCUGGUCCAGAGGUGAAGAAGAACAUCAUGGUGGAAGGGUAUGGACAUUGCACCAAAGUGGGUAGGGAUGUGUGUGUGUGUGGGGGGGGGAGAGAGAGAGAGAGAGAGAGAGAGAGAGAGACUGAACUUAGCUCACAAAAUAUAUACUCCAAAGGCAUGCACCCAAUGACCCACCUCCUCCAGCCACACCCUACCUCUGCCUACAAUUACCACCCGGUUAAUGCCAAUCAGAGAAUUAAUGUGUUGAUUAGGUUAAGGCUCUUAUAACCCAGUCACUUCAACUCUAAACUUUCUUGCAUUGUCUCACACAUGAGAUUUUUGUGGGACACCUAGUAUCUAAACCCUAACAGUUGGUGUUGCCUGAACUACGGAACAGCAGGUACAUAGGAAGAACACUUCAUCCAUUUCCAUGUUCAUUGCUAAGUCCAUGUUUGCCCCACAUAAAAAGGAUUCCUGGCAGGUAGUGUUACUGUGAGUAGGAGAUAGGGAGCCCCGCGGGAGCAUGUGCUGUACUAAUGGAGGCACCCACAAUGCAUGUAUUUCUCUUUCUGUUCAUUCAUCAAAUAUACAUCCACUAAACAAUGUUCCAAAAUAUAUGCCAGAUGUGUUGAGCAUAAAAUUUAAUUGAUAUAGAUCCCUGCCUUCAAGAAAUGCACAUUUUUAUAGGUUAGAGAAAUGCAAAAACAAAUAAUUAAACCACAGUGGAGAGAAUAGUGACAAACUGGGAAGGCUAGUUCAGCCAAGAGUUGGUCUUUAAGGAAGAGUGGCCCAUGACCUCAUGUGAAGAAAGUGGACAGAAAGCAAUGAACAACAUACCAGAGCACAAAAGAUCCUGUGCUCCUUGUGGAUGGGGAAUAAAAUUACAAGGGUAUGCCCAUGGGGGUGGGAAAGUAACAAGCAAAGAGGGUAGAAAUGUAGGUAGGGGACAAGUUACAAAAGGCCUUGUAUGCUGAAUCUAGUUGGGAUGGAUUUUAGAAACAAUAGGAGUCAUGGAAAAUUUUAAAAAUAUUAGGUGGUAACCUAAGACAUUCUUGAAUCUGAAAAUUACAAUAACCCAACCAAGGAAAAUGGAAAUAAUAAGUUAUAUCUGGGGUUGGCAAACUUUUUUUUUUUAUAAAAGAGACAAAGAAAAAAUUCUAGGCUUUGGGGGCCAUUUUGUCUGUGUCAUAAUUAAUCAUCUCUGUCAUUGUAGCAUGAAGGUAGCCAGAGACAAUACCUGAGAAAAAUAAACAUGGUUGUUCCAAUAAAACUUUAUUUACAAAAGCAGAC